CUCAAUUUUUUAAUUUAGUUCUGGUGCUCGCUUCGGUACAGAGAAGAUUAGCACGGUCCCUGCUCAAGGAUGACACGCAAAUUCGUGAAGCAUUCCAUAUUUAA